AAAGGAUGGCAGGUUGCGUAAUUUCCUGACGUUUGAUCCUUUCCGUCUCCUUCCGGUGUUGUGACCCUGAAGCGCUAUAGCGAGAGAGAUAACCCCCUGAUGCAAGAGUGUGAGCGCGUGGGCUGUAUGUAAUAUUAUGCAAGUUGCGGAUGCCGUGUUUCGCCUAUAGCAACGAGCCGUAUCACGCAGGGUUUCUAUUCCACUCUAUUAUGCAGCGUUUCUAGUCCACUUUUGGAUUACGGCAGAGAUCUUCCUCUGUGGAGUUCUAUGCAUAUGGACCUCUGAUGUAUAGGCCCUGCUGUUUUGCUUAUGAUUU